GAGACUCAGCGUUCAACCUCCCGCCCGUGUUUAUUUUACCUUGUUGCUUCGGCGGGCCCGCCUUAACUGGCCGCCGGGGGGCUUACGCCCCCGGGCCCGCGCCCGCCGAAGACACCCUCGAACUCUGUCUGAAGAUUGUAGUCUGAGUGAAAAUAUAAAUUAUUUAAAACUUUCAACAACGGAUCUCUUGGUUCCGGCAUCGAUGAAGAACGCAGCGAAAUGCGAUACGUAAUGUGAAUUGCAAAUUCAGUGAAUCAUCGAGUCUUUGAACGCACAUUGCGCCCCCUGGUAUUCCGGGGGGCAUGCCUGUCCGAGCGUCAUUUCUGCCCUCAAGCACGGCUUGUGUGUUGGGCCCCGUCCUCCGAUCCCGGGGGACGGGCCCGAAAGGCAGCGGCGGCACCGCGUCCGGUCCUCGAGCGUAUGGGGCUUUGUCACCCGCUCUGUAGGCCCGGCCGGCGCUUGCCGAUCAACCCAAAUUUUUAUCCAGGUUGACCUCGGAUCAGGUAGGGAUACCCGCUGAACUUAAGCUAAUCAAUAAGCGAGAGAUA
rnacentral:rRNA from 1 species